rnacentral:tRNA from 7 species
CGGGGCGUGGCGCAGCUUGGUAGCGCACCUGCUUUGGGAGCAGGGGGUCGCAGGUUCAAAUCCUGUCGCCCCGAC